ensembl:lncRNA LINC01492 long intergenic non-protein coding RNA 1492
AGAGGACUUCCAUUGAUCAAUAGCCACUCAGAUGUUCUGUGUUUGCCAUGAGUAUCGGACUUCAGUCUUCUGGAAAGAUGGCUGUGGUGCCUAAACACAUCUGUGCCUGGCCUCACCCGCGGGACUUCGGACAUUUCACUUAAUGCUGAAAAUUCACUCUACUGCCACUACUCAGGACUUCUGAUGGGCAUGAAAAUCCAAGCCUGCUUUAUGAUAUUAACCUCUGAAUUUCAUAAACCGCUUAAAACUUUAGAAUGUCCAGAAAACACUGGUAGAAUACGGACACAUGAGACAAGGCCAGAAAGGAAGUCAAUAAAAUGUGAUUACUAAGCAAAUUACCACCAGAGAAGCAGAAGGAAAUCCCUCUUCAAUAUUUUGAGAGACAGUAAAGAACAUUCCCUGGAGUUAGGACAAAUGAAGAGCAAGAAGUUUCAUCUUGCUCUGUCAUCCAGGCUGGAGUGCAGGGGCACCAUCUCGGCUCACUGAAACCUCCACUUCCCGGGUUCAAGCGAUUCUCCUGCCUCAGCCUCCUGAGUAACUGGGGUUACAG